AGGGGAGAAUGGAAUUCCUGGUGGAGCGGUGGAAUGCGCAGAUAUCAGGAGGAACACCAGUGGCGAAGGCGGUUCUCUGGGCCUUUCCUGACGCUGAGGAGCGAAAGCGUGGGGAGCGAACAGGCUUAGAUACCCUGGUAGUCACGCUGUAAACGGUGGGUACUAGGUGUGGGGUCCAUUCCACGGGUUCCGUGCCGUAGCUAACGCUUUAAGUACCCCGCCUGGGGAGUACGGCCGCAAGGCUAAAACUCAAAGGAAUUGACGGGGCCCCGCACAAGCGGCGGAGCAUGCGGAUUAAUUCGAUGCAACGCGUAGAACCUUACCUGGGUUUGACAUGGAUCGGGAGUGCUCAGAGAUGGGUGUGCCUCUUUUGGGGUCGGUUCACAGGUGGUGCAUGGCUGUCGUCAGCUCGUGUCGUGAGAUGUUGGGUUAAGUCCCGCAACGAGCGCAACCCUUGUUCACUGUUGCCAGCACGUUAUGGUGGGGACUCAGUGGAGACCGCCGGGGUCAACUCGGAGGAAGGUGGGGAUGACGUCAAGUCAUCAUGCCCCUUAUGUCCAGGGCUUCACGCAUGCUACAAUGGCUGGUACAGAGAGUGGCGAGCCUGUGAGGGUGAGCGAAUCUCGGAAAGCCGGUCUCAGUUCGGAUUGGGGUCUGCAACUCGACCUCAUGAAGUCGGAGUCGCUAGUAAUCGCAGAUCAGCAACGCUGCGGUGAAUACGUUCCCGGGGCUUGCACACACCGCCCGU
rnacentral:rRNA from 1 species